rnacentral:tRNA from 1 species
AACUGUCGUGGGGGACAGGCCUGAGGACCUUCUCGCGGGCCUUGAGUCAAUGAAAGCUCAAGGUUUAGACCUGAUCGUCACAAGCGGCGGCUU